rnacentral:lncRNA from 1 species
GUGUCGUUGGUAACAUAUCAUUAGAGUUAAACUGAGGUUGUUCCUGUGGAUCGACUGUUGGUGAAGAAGAAUGAGACUGAUCAGAAGCAAUAUUAGGCAUUUAAGGAGAAAAAAUAUUUACAGAUAAUGGAGAGGGAGUAGGAGAAAGAUCUUGUGAUAUUAAGGUAGAAAACAUAAACAACUUUGUCUUGGUAGUAGAAAAAGAGAUAGGAAAUAUAUACUCAAUAAAUCUAACAUCCCUCGAAACAAAAAAACUAGUUGUUUGUGAGAUUUAAAAGUUUAUAACCCUUCUUUCCAAAGGGAUAACCUACAAAAAUAUUAGGAAGGGCUCUUGGUGCAAGUUUGUCCGUGUUUUUGGAAAGGGUGGAGAUAAUACAUAAGCAACCAAAAGGUUUUAAAUAUACAUAAUCAGAAAUUUUGACAAAAAAAACUUGAUCUGUAUAUCAAAAAAGUAUUGAGUAGUUUCAGUUGAGCUCAGAUCCUCGUUAGCUUAGUGAAGUAACCUGCUAUAGUAAUAUUGGCUUGAUUAAUAUUGUUAAAUUCCCUUUGCAGUUGGAAGAGCUUUGUACCAUUAGCAUGUCCAUAGCUUUGUUCUAGUUUACUCCACCAUUCUCUGGCAGUUGAAGAUUAGAUCACACUCUCAGCAAUAUCUCUACUGAGAGUAUUCAGUAGCCAAGAUAUCAGCCUGUCGUUAUAUCUCUGCCAUUGUAAAAACAAGGGUGAGUCUGAAUUUGGGGAUAAAGAAAAUCUAUUAAUAAAACCAAGUGUAUUCUUGGUUAAAAGAAAAAUCAACACUCCUCUUUUUCAGUAGUUAUAAGAAGUUUCAUCAAAAGUUAUAUUAAUUAGUGUCAUGCUUGGAUUAUAGGAGGAAGAAAGAAAGUAGGGGUGAGUGGAUUUAAUUAGAAUCAAGGAUGCUGAAUUCAUAGGAGUUCCUUUAGUUUCAAAAGAUUUUGGGUCAUCAGAUAUAGUCGUUUGAGAAAACAUUGAAGUGAAAAAAAAUGAAGAGAAGAUUCUUAUAGCACCUGCUCCGAUACCAUGAAAAAGAAGAAGAAUAACAGGAUUUGUAUUUAUUUCUUGUGUAUAUUCUGUAAAUCGUGAUCCGAUAUAUAUACAAAGCAUUACUUCGCAAGAAAUUUAUCCUAUGUAACAGACAUGGAUAAAAAUCUACCCUAUGUACCAAACUUAAUAAUAAAAAGAAAUUAAAAAAUUAUGGGAAAAAGACAAAAAUAACAUCUAAAAUAAACUAAUUCUACAAAAUUAGCACCCAAAUUUUUAAUACCCAUAAAUAGCCACUCGCGAAUUGGGUUUUAAACCCGAUAAAUAGCCUCGUCACUCGCAUAUGUGUAUUAUAUCAUCUUCUUCUCUCAACUUUUCUCCAUUCCUACCAUAUAAUAUGAAUUUCACAUAGAAAUUAGAAAAAAAUAAAAUUCAACCCACCAAAAUUCAAUCAAUUUCACCCCAAUUCCUAAUCUCAGACACCAAAAUUGAACCUUCUAGGGGCUUCAAUCCAAUAGUAGUCUUACAGGGACUAGCUUCCUUUCCUACUGAAUUUCACUCAAGGAUUCCGAAUUCCAAUUUUGUUUCUGUCCGAUUAAUCCGAAUUCAUAUCGGUAACAAUACUUCGACGAAAAACUUGUACACAAAAUUCGACUAUUGCACUGGCAAAGUAACUUCUUCAGUUACCUUUGUCAACCAAAUACCUUGGUAAGGACAAUAUUUUUUCCAGCGAACUAUUCUUUUGGGUUUAUGCUCGUUUUUGUGAUUUUGUUUUCGUCCGAUUAAUCAACAUUCAUAUCGGUAACAAUACGUCGGCGAAAAACUUGUUCACAAAAUUCGACUAUUGCACUGACAAAGUAACUUCUUCAGUUACCUUUGUCAACCAAAUGCCUCGGUAAGUACAAUAUUUUUUUCAGUGAAAUAUUCUUUUGGGUUUAUGCUCGUUUUUGUGAUUUCGUUUCUGUCGUUAAUCAUUUACGUGAUAUUUCUGCUACUACUAUGAUUAUUGAGAUACUUGACACAUGAUUCAGUGAGUUUUCUCUGUUUCUAUCUUUAAGCUUCACUGUAUUUUAAUGGUAGCGUUGUGGAUUUGCAUGCUUAAUUUGAAGUCGACAAAGUUAUUGGUGUAGGACAUAAAUUGAUCAAAACUUUCAAUGGAGGUCUAUGCUUGCACAAAUUUUAUAUGUAAAAGGUGUAUUUAUAUGAUAUAUAUACUGUAUCAACGUGGUAUAAAAGUGUAUUAAUGCGGUAUCAAAGUGUAUCAAUGUAGUAUAAAAGUAUAUCAAUGUUGUAUAAAAGUGUAUUAAUAUGGUAUAAAAGAGUACCAAUUAGGAAUAGGAACUGAAUGUGCUUGCAUAGAAUUUCCUUUCUCUUUUUUAAAAAGUGUAUCAAUAUAAUAUAAAAGUGUAUCAAUUUGAUAUAAAAGUAUAUCAAUUGAUUAUAGAGACUGCAUGUACCAAAUUAGGCCAAAUGGCUGAAAAAAGGAUUAGUUUAGCCGACUGGACAACCCAUGUCCACCUUUUCAGAUGGGGGCCAUUUUUUUUUUUAAAUAGUUAUACCAUGUCCUUUUUCCUAUCUAUUUAUACUAGUACAAUGUCUAAUCUGUCCCUAUACAUUAUUCUAGAAAUAAGGGAAUAAAUCCUAUUAGAGAGAAAGUCACAGCUGGACAAUUUUCAAUCGAUAUAUGCUAAUUUUCAAUAAUUUGUCUAUGUAGAUGACACAAUCUUUUUUUGCUCAGGUCAUAAAGGUUCAGUGAAAAAAAUGAUGAGGGUACUACAUGAUUAUGAGAAAGUAUCUGGCCAGUUAAUCAUCCUUUCUAAGAGCUACAUAUAUACAUAACAAAGUUUCUAUAACAGAUAAGCACAAACUGAGAAGAUUAACAGGCAUUGAUGUAGGACAUCUCCUAUUCACAUACCUAGGAUGCCCAAUUUUCUAUAGAAGGCAGAAGAAGAUAUAUUUUGAGGAGAUCAUAAGGCAUUACAGGAUGUUAACUUAUAGGGGAAGGUAUGUAUUAUUAUGUAAUGUCCUGUAAUCAAUGACCAUGUAAUCAAUGACCAUAUAUCUGAUAUUUGUAAUGAACCCUCCGAAAGGUGUUAUUGAUGAAAUACAUAGGCUGAUAGCUAGGUUUUUUUGGGGUAAAAUAGGAGGUUCAAAAGAGAAGCAAUGGGCCACAUAGGAUGAUUUGUGCUAUCCAAAGACAGAAAAGGAAAUUGGCUUUCGAUCUUUGCAUACAGUUUCUGAUGCUUUGUUGGCAGUGGAAUUUCAAAACAUCUAUAGACUUUAUGUGGAGCCACUUUAUGUGGAACAAGUAUUGCAAGAAAAAACAUCCUGUAUUUCCACAAGGUUUUGAAAUUUCACAAGUUUGGAGAAAAACAAUACAGGUUAGGAAAAAAUAGAACACUAUAUCUUUUGGCAGAUUAAUAAUGGAGUUGUCAGCUUUUGGUUUGACAACUAGACUCAGUUAGACACUCUAUAUUUCACUGAUGAAGAAAAUAAUAUUGAGAAGGAGAUAGAAGUCACAUAAUUUAUAAUAGAAGAUGGUUCCUGAAAUGUGGAAAAGCUGAAAGAGUAUAUUUCAGAAGAGAGAAUACAACACAUAAAGGAUACCAUCAAAUCAUAUAAAAAUGAGAUAGACAGGGACAAAGCUUGGUGGAGGCCUACUUCAGAUAGUAAAUUCAGUAUCAAAGAUACACAUGAGGUAUUAAGGAAGAAAAGAAGGACCAAUGAGGAGUGCAAAUUGAUCUAGAACAAAACUUUGCCUACAAAGUUACGUUUCUUUUCAUGGAGAGCUUUGAAGGGAAGGAUACCUACAGAUGACAAUCUUGCUAAACUAAGGAUUCAUAUAGUAUCAAGGUGUUAGUGCUGUGAGAAACCCAAACAGAAAACUAUGGAACACUUAUUUCUAAAAACUCCCAUAACUACUAAGUUAUGGAAGCAGUUUGCUAAUUUUCUAGUUAUUAAAAUUGAAAGAGCAUAAUUACCACUUGUGAUCAGAAUGUGGUGGUUUAAAGAAGCACCCACAAAAUUACAGCAAAUCUACAGGGAGUUACCAGCAAUUAUUAUAUGGGUUUUGUGGGAAAAGGAGAAACAAACUGAAGCAUAGAGACAUUGCUCAAAUAAGUGAUAAAGUUAAAAUUCCCAUUGAUAAAGGAUACAGGGAACAAUUGGGCAGAUUUGGUGACCUAGUUCAAGAGAUAUAAACCAAGGUUGUAUUGCUAUGCAGUGAAAUGGACACUAUCCACAUAGGAGAGGUUAAAGUACAAUACAGAUGGUGCCUCUAAGAGAAAUCUAGGACAAGGAGCAUAUGGAUUUAUUGUGAGAAGAGAUGAUAGAAACUUAAUAUAUGCUCAAGAAGGUGGGCUGGGCAUUACUACUACUAUGAUAGUAGAGAUGACAACAAUUUUGAAGGCAGUAAGAUUUUGCGCAUUGAGGAAUUUUAGGGACAUGGAAAUAGAAUCAGAUUCUUUGGCUUUGGUUAAUAUUGUAAGAAAUGUGUGACAGAUCCCAUGGGAAAUGAUUGAAGCAAUAGAAGAAAUAAGAAACCUGAUGUCUAAUAUAAAUGCUACAAUCACAUACAUUUACAGGGAGGAGAAUACAUUUGUAGAUUAUCUAGCUAAUCUAGCUACUCAAUCAGAACAUACAAAAACAUUCAACAAAUUUUAGCAAUUACCACCAGUAGAAAGGAAGAUUUUUAAUAUGGAUAAGAUGCAAAUUCCUAAUUUGAGAAUUAACUAAGAUGAUAAAUCUAUAUUAAAAAAUGUUCGGCCUAUGCAACACAUGCAAAAUGUAGAUUCUGAGCAGCAAAGGCAUUUACAGUGAACUAAAUCCUUAUACAAGGACCAACACUGCUGCUAAAUACGAUAGCCAAAUCUAUGUUAGCUCACAAAAACUAUCACCAAAAACAAAGGAGAAAUGCGUCAUAUAUGUCCAUUGGCCUAGGAGGUCUGUCAUAAGCCUAUAUUAGCAAUGGAUCCAUCAUCUUCAAUGCAUAUCUAAUAGAAAAAGGAAGAGAAGAUUUUUAUCUUAGAUUCAAAGUGAUAAUGAAGAGCAGAAAGGUUACUUAUGGAUGAACUGCAAACCUUGGACGUUUCCCCUUUCUCUUUCACUCCAGAAACAACCCCACCACCUGAAACUUGGUAGAGUUUGUAAAGUGGAUAGGUGUAAAGACAAAUCUCUACAAAUGUUACCUUUGUUUUUUGACAACCUUUUUUGUGAAAAAGACACACAACACAAGGAUGGAACAAUAUUUAUCACCCACAGAAGAAGUAGAAUCAGUUUGGAAUUAAGGCGGCAACAUCUUAGAAGCACGUUGAAGGUGGAGAGGCGACCAAAGAUGGAAAUGGAAAUAAUAGGAAUUUCUUACAUUUUUAUAGCUAGGUCAAAUAGGAAAUUGGGCUUGACCUGCAAUAAUUUUCAGGAUUUGUUUUCUUUUUGGCAUUGGGCCAUAAACUUUUUUUGUUUUAUUGAUUAUUAAUAAAAUGGCUGCAAAGCCACAAAAAUUUCC